AAUUCAGACAAACUCCGAAUGCCAAUUAAUUUAACUUGGGAGUCAGAACAUGGGUGAUAAGGUCCGUGUUCGAAAGGGAAACAGCCCAGACCACCAGCUAAGGUCCCAAAAUAUAUGUUAAGUGGAAAAGGAUGUGGCGUUGCCCAGACAACUAGGAUGUUGGCUUAGAAGCAGCCAUCAUUUAAAGAGUGCGUAAUAGCUCACUAGUCGAGUGACACUGCGCCGAAAAUGUACCGGGGCUAAACAUAUUACCGAAGCUGUGGAUUGUCCUUUGGACAAUGGUAGGAGAGCGUUCUAAGGGCGUUGAAGCAUGAUCGUAAGGACAUGUGGAGCGCUUAGAAGUGAGAAUGCCGGUGUGAGUAGCGAAAGACGGGUGAGAAUCCCGUCCACCGAUUGACUAAGGUUUCCAGAGGAAGGCUCGUCCGCUCUGGGUUAGUCGGGUCCUAAGCUGAGGCCGACAGGCGUAGGCGAUGGAUAACAGGUUGAUAUUCCUGUACCACCUAUAAUCGUUUUAAUCGAUGGGGGGACGCAGUAGGAUAGGCGAAGCGUGCGAUUGGAUUGCACGUCUAAGCAGUAAGGCUGAGUAUUAGGCAAAUCCGGUACUCGUUAAGGCUGAGCUGUGAUGGGGAGAAGACAUUGUGUCUUCGAGUCGUUGAUUUCACACUGCCGAGAAAAGCCUCUAGAUAGAAAAUAGGUGCCCGUACCGCAAACCGACACAGGUAGUCAAGAUGAGAAUUCUAAGGUGAGCGAGCGAACUCUCGUUAAGGAACUCGGCAAAAUGACCCCGUAACUUCGGGAGAAGGGGUGCUCUUUAGGGUUAACGCCCAGAAGAGCCGCAGUGAAUAGGCCCAAGCGACUGUUUAUCAAAAACACAGGUCUCUGCUAAACCGUAAGGUGAUGUAUAGGGGCUGACGCCUGCCCGGUGCUGGAAGGUUAAGAGGAGUGGUUAGCUUCUGCGAAGCUACGAAUCGAAGCCCCAGUAAACGGCGGCCGUAACUAUAACGGUCCUAAGGUAGCGAAAUUCCUUGUCGGGUAAGUUCCGACCCGCACGAAAGGCGUAACGAUUUGGGCACUGUCUCAACGAGAGACUCGGUGAAAUCAUAGUACCUGUGAAGAUGCAGGUUACCCGCGACAGGACGGAAAGACCCCGUGGAGCUUUACUGUAGCCUGAUAUUGAAAUUCGGCACAGCUUGUACAGGAUAGGUAGGAGCCUUUGAAACGUGAGCGCUAGCUUACGUGGAGGCGCUGGUGGGAUACUACCCUAGCUGUGUUGGCUUUCUAACCCGCACCACUUAUCGUGGUGGGAGACAGUGUCAGGCGGGCAGUUUGACUGGGGCGGUCGCCUCCUAAAAGGUAACGGAGGCGCUCAAAGGUUCCCUCAGAAUGGUUGGAAAUCAUUCAUAGAGUGUAAAGGCAUAAGGGAGCUUGACUGCGAGACCUACAAGUCGAGCAGGGUCGAAAGACGGACUUAGUGAUCCGGUGGUUCCGCAUGGAAGGGCCAUCGCUCAACGGAUAAAAGCUACCCCGGGGAUAACAGGCUUAUCUCCCCCAAGAGUUCACAUCGACGGGGAGGUUUGGCACCUCGAUGUCGGCUCAUCGCAUCCUGGGGCUGUAGUCGGUCCCAAGGGUUGGGCUGUUCGCCCAUUAAAGCGGUACGCGAGCUGGGUUCAGAACGUCGUGAGACAGUUCGGUCCCUAUCCGUCGUGGGCGUAGGAAAUUUGAGAGGAGCUGUCCUUAGUACGAGAGGACCGGGAUGGACAUACCUCUGGUGUACCAGUUGUCGUGCCAACGGCAUAGCUGGGUAGCUAUGUGUGGACGGGAUAAGUGCUGAAAGCAUCUAAGCAUGAAGCCCCCCUCAAGAUGAGAUUUCCCAACUUCGGUUAUAAGAUCCCUCAAAGAUGAUGAGGUUAAUAGGUUCGAGGUGGAAGCAUGGUGACAUGUGGAGCUGACGAAUACUAA
rnacentral:rRNA from 1 species